rnacentral:misc_RNA from 1 species
AGCAGCCGCGGUAAUUCCAGCUCCAAUAGCGUAUAUUAAAGUUGUUGCAGUUAAAAGCUCGUAGUUGAAUUUCGGGAUCAGUUGGUCGGUCGUGCCUCGGUACGUACUGGUCAAAUUGAUUCCUACCUUCUGACGAACCACGAUGUCAUUAAUUUGGUGUCGCGGGAAAUCAGGACUGUUACUUUGAAAAAAUUAGAGUGUUUAAAGCAGGCUCGCGCUUGAAUACAUUAGCAUGGAAUAAUGAAAUAGGACGUUUGAUUCUAUUUUGUUGGUUUCUAGGAUCGACGUAAUGAUUAAUAGGGAUAGUUGGGGGCAUUAGUAUUCAAUUGUCAGAGGUGAAAUUCUUGGAUUUAUUGAAGACUAACUACUGCGAAAGCAUUUGCCAAGGAUGUUUUCAUUAAUCAAGAACGAAAGUUAGGGGAUCGAAGACGAUCAGAUACCGUCGUAGUCUUAACCAUAAACUAUGCCGACUAGGGAUCGGAUGAUGUUAAUUUUUUAAUGACUCAUUCGGCGCCUUACG